rnacentral:rRNA from 1 species
UACCAGCACCCCGAGUGGUCGGGACGUUUUAUUGGGCCUAAAGCAUCCGUAGCCGGUUCUACAAGUCUUCCGUUAAAUCCAACUGCUUAACAGGUGGGCUGCGGAAGAUACUAUAGAGCUAGGAGGCGGGAGAGGCAAGCGGUACUCGAUGGGUAGGGGGUAAAAUCCGUUGAUCCAUUGAAGACCACCAGUGGCGAAGGCGGCUUGCCAGAACGCGCUCGACGGUGAGGGAUGAAAGCUGGGGGAGCAAACGG